rnacentral:rRNA from 1 species
GCAAGUCGAACGAUAAGGUCCCUUCGGGGAUACAUAAGUGGCGAACGGGUGAGUAACACGUAGGUAUCUGCCUUAAGGAAGGGGAUAACACUGGGAAACUGGUGCUAAUACCCUAUAUGUCUUUCGAGAUGAAAGCUCCGGCGCCUUAAGAUGAGCCUGCGGCUGAUUAUCUAGUUGGUGGGGUAAAUGCCUACCAAGGCUACGAUCAGUAGCUGGUCUGAGAGGAUGGAC